rnacentral:rRNA from 1 species
GACCAGACUCCUACGGGAGGCAGCAGUCGAGAAUCAUUCACAAUGGGGGGAACCCUGAUGCAGCGACGCCGCGUGGGUGAAGGAGCACCUCGGUGCGUAAAGCCCUAUCGGCAGGGAAGAAAAGCGAACAGGUUCGCCUGGACGGUACCUGACUAAGAAGCCCCGGCUAACUACGUGCCAGCAGCCGCGGUAAUACGUAGGGGGCAAGCGUUAUCCGGAUUCACUGGGUGUAAAGGGAGCGUAGCCGGCGACGCAAGUCUGGAGUGAAAGCCCGGGGCCCAACCCCGGGACUGCCCUUGGAACUGCAUGGCUGGAGUGCGGGAGGGGCAGGCGGAAUUCCUGGUGUAGCGGUGAAAUGCGUAGAUAUCAGGAGGAACACCGGCGGCGAAGGCGGCCUGCUGGACCGCGACUGACGUUGAGGCUCGAAAGCGUGGGGAGCGAACAGGAUUAGAUACCCCCGUAGUC